AAACUACUCCCUCCGUCCGACAAUACUUGUCACCAAAAUGAAUAAAAAGAGAUAUAUCUAGAACUAAAAUACAUCUAGAUACAUCCUCUUUUAUCCAUUUUGAUGACAAGUAUUUCCGAACGGAGGGAGUACAUU
rnacentral:pre_miRNA from 1 species